CCUACGGGGGGCAGCAGUGAGGAAUAUUGGUCAAUGGACGAAAGUCUGAACCAGCCAAGUAGCGUGAAGGAUGACUGCCCUAUGGGUUGUAAACUUCUUUUAUAUGGGAAUAAAACGUUCCACGUGUGGGAUUUUGUCUUUACCAUAUGAAUAAGGAUCGGCUAACUCCGUGCCAGCAGCCGCGGUAAUACGGAGGAUCCGAGCGUUAUCCGGAUUUAUUGGGUUUAACGGGAGCUUAGGUGGAUUGUUAAGUCAGUUGUGAAAGUUGGCGGCUCAACCGUAAAAGUGCAGUUGAAACUGGCAGUCUUGAGUACAGUAGAGGGGGGCGGAAGUCGUGGUGUAGCUGUGAAAUGCUUAGAUAUCACGAAGAACUCCGAUUGCGAAGGCAGUUCACUGGACUGCAACUGACACUGAGGCUCGAAAGUGUGGGUAUCAAACAGGAUUAGAUACCCCGGUAGUC
rnacentral:rRNA from 1 species